CGAAGGGAGAAAUUCAUUCGCGUUUCGAGGCAGGCGUUGAGUAGUUGUUUGUGACGGAAGGGGCAUAUUUUUUGCAACUUUCGCACCAAUUGCUUUUCGAACCGGUCGCGAACGCGUGCACUUUUCUCCUGGUAGGACGUCGCGAUCCGUUGGGUGUCGGUCUAAGACUUGCGGUGGAGACCGUUCAUUUCUUGUAAGUGGAUGGACCCGUGAUGUCCGGCCGACUCGCUCGACGGUAUAUGAACGGUUUGGGGCCGCUAUUUUAGCGUUCGACCCAUUACAAGCGCGCCAGAUGUGUUGGCGAUCGGACCUAGUGCCGGUUCCAAUCUCUGGUGACUGUUGGUGGUGGUGUUCUCGAACAGACCUCUCAAAAAUUUAAAAACCGAUCAGCGACGGUGUAGCAUUGGGUACUUUCAGGACCCGUCUUGAAACACGGACCAAGGAGUCUAGCAUGUACGCAAGUCAUUGGGAAUUACUAAACCUAAAGGCGUAAUGAAAGUAAAGAUCUUCCUUGCGAAGAUCGAGGGAAGACAGGUGGUUGGCCCUUAAAAGCGGCCGCCUAGCACUCCCGGGGUGUCUCAUUCUCAUUGCGAGAAGAGGCGCACCAAGAGCGUACACGCUGGGACCCGAAAGAUGGUGAACUAU
rnacentral:rRNA from 1 species